rfam:Kwoniella heveanensis BCC8398 unplaced genomic scaffold supercont1.15, whole genome shotgun sequence.
AUCUUCGGCCAUAGAAUCGAGAAAACACCACAUCCCGUCCGCUCUGUGAAGUCUUGAAGCUCGAUAUCGCUGAGUCAGUACCGUUGUGGGGGACUAGAUGGGAAUCCUGAGUGCUGAAGUUU